UACGUAGGUGGCAAGCGUUAUCCGGAAUUAUUGGGCGUAAAGGGUGCGUAGGCGGUUUAUUAAGUCGUAUGGUGAAAGUGCGGGGCUCAACCCCUAUGGCCAUAGAAACUAGUAGACUUGAGUGCAGGAGAGGGCAAUGGAAUUCCACGUGUAGCGGUAAAAUGCGUAGAUAUGUGGAGGAACACCAGUGGCGAAGGCGGUUGCCUGGCCUGUAACUGACGCUGAGGCACGAAAGCGUGGGGAGCAAAUAGGG
rnacentral:rRNA from 1 species